rnacentral:lncRNA from 1 species
UCUGAUUCUGCUGCUGCUGGUGGGCCCGCCACUCCCUCUUCUGAAAACUCCUCCAAGAAGCUCAGAGGCAGACCUCCUACCCCUUUAAAGAAACAGCUCGAUGCACUGGGUACCCGAUUUAUCAUCCUCUCCCUUUUUUUAUACUUCUGAAAACUCCUCUAAGAAGCUCAGAGGCAGACCUCCUACCCCUUUAAAGAAACAGCUCGAUGCACUGGGUACCCGAUUUAUCAUCCUCUCCCUUUUUUUAUUUAUUAAUUUUAAUAAAAGCGAGGUCUGUGGAAACCGUUUCCCUAUAAAAAUGUAUUAUGUGGAAAUGUUUUAUCUUGGAAUAUUAAUUUUUCAAUGUUCAAUUUCGGAAAUAAAAUAGUAGGUGAUUUAUGGUAAUUGUGCAGAGUUUAAGAUAAACUAUUU